GUAGUUCUUUAUACCAUGUUGAUCUCUUGUUCUUCCAGCUCGUCUUACGGUUCUGAAGAUGAAGAUCUCCACUACGCUGUCACUGAAAGAGAAUAAAGAUGAAAUUGAGAAAGCGAUUAAAGAUGAACUGAUCAGACGAGGGCUGCCUCCAGACAUCAAGGUCCGCCUGCUGAGCGACGGUUCAGUGCAGGUUAAAGAAACAGCUGCCCCCUAGUGGCUAAAAAUGAGAAUGACUCUGAUCCAUGCAGAGGAAUAUUACUGGGUUUAUCUGGUUUUACUUCUUGUACUUUUUAAUAAAUCUGGGGACUUAUGGUUGUUUUAGUUAGUGUGGGAAUACAAGUUUGAUUUGAGUGAUUUUUUAAGUGAUGUUAAACAGAACUUAGUCUUUCAUUUAUGGGUUAAUCCGUUGUAGUUAAUUUAGUAGGUUUUCAUCCACUUUAUUUUUAAAUUUGUAUUGAUCUUAAACUGAUUAUGUUAUUCAAUUUCUUUUAUGAACAUUAUAUGGUAUGUGUAUUAAUUGUUUGUAAUCAAACUUCUGUUUAACUCUGACAUGUGGGGUCAUCAAGGGGUCAUCGAGGGGUCAAGGAGAGCACUGUAUGGUCUCAGAAACCAGUCUGAGGUUGAUUAGGUUGGUAGGGAGGACAACUUAGUGGAACGCUCCAGUUUACUGAUAAAC